CUUAAGCCUGUGGCUAGAGGAUGGUUGGAGUUUAUCCCUGAGUUACUGCCCAGAACCACCACUGUGGCUGCCGCUGGGAUUGUGAACGGUGGAAGGAGACGCUGGUUCUGUCACAGCCAUUCCUGAAGGAGAAAUCAGCCGCGCCGCCGCACCUUUGGCACUGGGAAACGCCACUACCGCGGCCGAGUUCCACCGCCGGUAAGAGUUUUAAGUUUGGUUUCUGUUAAUUUGGGUU